ACGCUGGCGGCACGCCUAACACAUGCAAGUCGAACGAAGUAGCAAUACUUAGUGGCAGACGGGUGAGUAACAUGUAGGUAUCUGCCCUUUGGCCUGGAAUAACACGAGGAAACUUGUGCUAAUACCGGAUAAGUCUUUACGGAGAAAGCUUUAUGCACCAUUGGAUGAGCCUGCACUUGAUUAGUUUGUUGGUGGGGUAAUGGCCUACCAAGACUGUGAUCAAUAGCUGAUUUGAGAGGAUGAUCAGCCACAUUGGGACUGAGACACGGCCCAAACUCCUACGGGAGGCAGCAGUGGGGAAUCUUGCACAAUGGAGGAAACUCUGAUGCAGCGAUGCCGCGUGAGUGAAGAAGGCCUUUGGGUUGUAAAGCUCUUUCGUCGGGGAAGAAAAUGACUGUACCCGAAUAAGAAGGUCCGGCUAACUUCGUGCCAGCAGCCGCGGUAAUACGAAGGGACCUAGCGUAGUUCGGAAUUACUGGGCUUAAAGAGUUCGUAGGUGGUUGAAAAAGUUGGUGGUGAAAUCCCAGAGCUUAACUCUGGAACUGCCAUCAAAACUUUUCAGCUAGAGUUUGAUAGAGGAAAGCAGAAUUUCUAGUGUAGAGGUGAAAUUCGUAGAUAUUAGAAAGAAUACCAAUUGCGAAGGCAGCUUUCUGGAUCAUUACUGACACUGAGGAACGAAAGCAUGGGUAGCGAAGAGGAUUAGAUACCCUCGUAGUCCAUGCCGUAAACGAUGUGUGUUAGACGUUGGAAAUUUAUUUUCAGUGUCGCAGCGAAAGCGAUAAACACACCGCCUGGGGAGUACG
rnacentral:rRNA from 1 species